rnacentral:tRNA from 1 species
ACCUGGGUGGCUCAGUGGAUGAGCGUCUGCCUUUGGCUCAGGUCAUGAUCUGGUCGUGGGAUCGAGUCCCACAUCAGGCU